GUAUCACAUAGUAUUUUGUGAGACAAGGAAAGAUGACUUUUUUGUUUGUAUAGGUUUUUAUCUGUUUGUUUGUUUUUCAUAAUUCUGAGUGUAAUUGGGAAUCCACUGAAUAAUUUCAAGCAGGAAGGGACCAUGAUCUAAUUCAUAUGUUUAAAUGCUUUCUGUAGCUACUGUAUGGAGGAGAAAUCAUUUCAAGGCGGAGAGAGAUGAAAUCGAGAGACUGGAUGGGUGGCUCUGGCAUUAAGCUAAGCACUAGCUGAUGCUCGUGUGGCCUAGGGCAGAAGUGUGGAGAUGACCACCAGUGUAAAUGCUCCAGCUUUGUUUUAGACGUGGAGUUGACCCGGUGUAUUGAUUAAUUAUAUAUGGAGCAGAAGAAAGAGUAACCCCCUCCCAGUCCUGAAGGAAGAAAACAUCAUCUGGAGUCUCCUUUCUUUCAUAGACAUGCCAGAAGGCAAAACCGCAUGUUCAAGAUCUACAGAAAAAGCACAGAUAAUGAAAACAGAAACAUUGUAAUCCAAAUAAUGGAAGUAACUAGCAAAGCAUUAAAAUAAUUCUUAAUAGUAUGUUAUAGAAAAUAGAGGAUAAAAUAAGCAAAAUAGAUGAGACUAUGGAGCAUCUCACCAGAUAGUUGGAAUAUAUAAAAUAAUCAUAUUAAAAUUUUAAAAUGUGAAAUACAAUAUCUGAAAUCAAUACCUCUUCAGAUAGACACAGCAGAGCUGAAAGAGCAGAGGCAGGUUGGGAGAAUGGAAAGAGAUUAAUAGCCAAUAUCUAAACUGAAGUACAGAAAAAGUAGUAAUUUAAAAUAUAGGAAAGAACAUCAGAAACCUGUGGGAUAAAGUAAAAAUAUCUCCCAUUCAUGUAACUGGCGUCCAAAAGAGAGGAGCGAUGGAGAGUCAAUGUUCCUCUUGGUGCAAAUAGGGCUGUGCAGUUUCCAGUGUGGGUAUCAGUCCAGAGAAGGCUGAAUACACCUUGGCUUCACGCUGUGUCCUCCAGGAUUGUCAACUAAAACACUCAUCUGUU
rnacentral:lncRNA from 1 species